rnacentral:rRNA from 1 species
GGGAAUAUUGGCCAAUGGGGGCAACCUUGAUCCACCCAGGCGGGUUGAGUGAUGAAGCCCUAAGGGUUGUAAACUUUUUUAACCGGGGAAGAUAAUGACGGUAUCCGGAGAAGAAGCCCCGGCUAACUUCGUGCCAGCAGCCGCGGUAAUACGAAGGGGGCAAGCGUUUUUCGGAAUUACUGGGCGUAAAGCGCGCGCAGGCGGUCAUUUAAGUCAGGGGUGAAAUCCCGGGGCUCAACCCGGGAAUUCCCUUUGAAAUGGGGUGUUUGGAUUGUGGAAGAGGGAGGUGGAAUUCCGAGUGUAGGGGUGAAAUUCGUAGAUAUUGGGAGGAACACCAGUGGGGAAGGCGGCUCCCUGGUCCAUUACUGACGUUGAGGCGGGAAAGCGUGGGGAGCAAACAGGAUUAGAUCCCCUGGUAGUCCACCCCGUAAACGAUGUAAGU